AGUCACAGGUUAGCUUGGAACUGAACCCAAGUGUGCCCCCACUCCACUGGAAUUUGCUUGCCAGGAUGCCAAUGAGUUGUAGCUUCAUUUUUCUUAGAGACUUUCCUGGCUGUGGUUGAACAAUGAAAAGGCCCUCUAGUGGUGUUUGUUUUAGGGGCACUUAGGUGAUAAUUCUGGUAUUCUUUCCCAGACUUGUAACAAGAGUAACAUGUGUGAAAGCAGCAAAGAGGCACUGGCAGAAAACAACCUGAACCUUCCAAAGAUGGCUGAAAAAGAUGGAUGCUUCCAAUCUGGAUUCAAUGAGGAGACUUGCCUGGUGAAAAUCAUCACUGGUCUUUUGGAGUUUGAGGUAUACCUAGAGUACCUCCAGAACAGGUUUGAGAGCAGUGAGGAACAAGCCAGAGCUGUGCAGAUGAGUACAAAAGUCCUGAUCCAGUUCCUGCAGAAAAAGGUGGGUGUGUCCUCAUUCCCUCAACUUGGUGUGGGGGAAGACAGGCUCAAAGACAGUGCCCUGGACAACUCAGGGAUGCAAUGCCACUUCCAAAAGAGAAGGCUACAUGUAAAAAAAAGAGUCUGAGA
rnacentral:sRNA from 1 species